AUGCAUCCCAUGGAGCUGGACCCCAAGUUCAAGCACAAUAACAUGGACGGCAUCCUUGUCUAUGACGUCCGCACGCCGAGCUUCGUGGUCGGCCCUCCGCAGAGUGGGGAUCCAGAUCCAUAUCCGGUCGACCCCAUCUACAUUCAUGUUGGUGGUAGGCUCUUUGCUCUCGCCGCCGACUCAUUCCAGCUGCUCUACCCGCCACCGUAUUACGAGUCUGACUGGGAGGAAUUUGUGUGGGCGUGGCAGAGCCUGCCGGAGCCGCCCUUUUCGCACGACCUCGUCGCUUGCUACACUGUGCAUAGCGAUCGGCGGACCAUCUUCGUCAGCGUCGGAGGGGAAGCCCCCGCCACCUACAGCUUUGACACGUCGGAGGCUCUCAUGGACGACGGCGACUGCCGGUGGAAGCAUCACGGCGAGUGGACGAUGCCGUUCGACGGCCGUGCUUACUUCAUCCCUGAGCUGAGCGUCUGGGUUGGGCUAUCCGGGUGCAGACGCCAAUCCGAGCACGUCCUUCAGAUCGCAGCCAUCGAUGAGGUCUCUGAAAAUUUUGAUGGCGGCCAGCAAGGCCUGGGCCUAAAGCUGUGCAAGGAGGAAUUGAGCCCCCUUUACCCAGGCGAGGAGCCCGUCGGCGCCACCAGCAAGGGGAAUGAGGAGCAGCAGGAUCGCGGCUGUCUUAUGCGAUUGACGACAUUUUCUCUGAAAUAUGACAAGAAUGGAGGCCUGGCGAUUGGCAAAGGCCGCCACAUUCUGCAGUACAGCGUGCCACCAGAAGUUACUUUGUCGAUGCUCAAGACUCCCGUGGCAUUCUGGAUGUGA
rnacentral:rRNA from 1 species